rnacentral:rRNA from 1 species
AAACCAACAGGGAUUGCCUCAGUAACGGCGAGUGAAGCGGCAAAAGCUCAAAUUUGAAAUCCCCCGGGAAUUGUAAUUUGAAGAGAUUUGGGUCCGGCCGGCGGGGGUUAAGUCCACUGGAAAGUGGCGCCACAGAGGGUGACAGCCCCGUGAACCCCUUUAACGCCCUCAUCCCAGAUCUCCAAGAGUCGAGUUGUUUGGGAAUGCAGCUCUAAGUGGGUGGUAAAUUCCAUCUAAAGCUAAAUACCGGCGAGAGACCGAUAGCGAACAAGUACAGUGAUGGAAAGAUGAAAAGCACUUUGAAAAGAGAGUGAAAAAGUACGUGAAAUUGUUGAAAGGGAAGGGCUUGCAAGCAGACACUUAACUGGGCCAGCAUCGGGGCGGCGGGAAACAAAACCACCGGGGAAUGUACCUUUCGAGGAUUAUAACCCCGGUCUCAUAUUUCCAUGUUGCCCCGAGGCC